rnacentral:rRNA from 1 species
UACGUAGGGACCAAGCGUUGUUCGGAUUUACUGGGCGUAAAGGGCGCGUAGGCGGCGCGGUAAGUCGGGUGUGAAAUCUCGGAGCUUAACUCCGAAACUGCAUUCGAUACUGCCGUGCUUGAGGACUGGAGAGGAGACUGGAAUUUACGGUGUAGCGGUGAAAUGCGUAGAUAUCGUAAGGAAGACCAGUGGCGAAGGCGGGUCUCUGGACAGUUCCUGACGCUGAGGCACGAAGGUCAGGGGAGCAAACGGG